AUGCCUUGCUUCCCCUUUGCCUUCCACCAUGACCGUAAGUUUCCUGAGGCCUCCCCAGCCAUUUGGAACCAAGGUGCUUGCUUCCCCUUCACCUUCUGCCAUGACUGUGAGUUUCCUGAGGCCUCCCCAGCCAUGCCUCCUGCACAGCCUGUGGAACCAAAAACCAACUCACAUAUGAUGAAAUGUGAUGGGGGUGAAAUAACAGCAGUGUGA
rnacentral:lncRNA from 1 species